AAGAAACCAACAGGGAUUGCCUCAGUAACGGCGAGUGAAGCGGCAACAGCUCAAAUUUGAAAUCUGGCUCUUUCAGGGUCCGAGUUGUAAUUUGUAGAAGAUGCUUCGGGUGUGGCUCCGGUCUAAGUUCCUUGGAACAGGACGUCAUAGAGGGUGAGAAUCCCGUACGUGACUGGUUGCCUUCGCCCAUGUGAAGCUCUUUCGACGAGUCGAGUUGUUUGGGAAUGCAGCUCAAAAUGGGUGGUAAAUUUCAUCUAAAGCUAAAUAUUGGCCAGAGACCGAUAGCGCACAAGUAGAGUGAUCGAAAGAUGAAAAGCACUUUGGAAAGAGAGUUAAACAGUACGUGAAAUUGUUGAAAGGGAAGCGCUUGCAACCAGACUUGCGCGCUGCCGAUCAUCCGGGGUUCUCUCCGGUGCACUCGGUUGCGUUCAGGCCAGCAUCGGUUUGGGUGGUUGGAUAAAGGCCUUGGGAAUGUAGCUUCUUUCGGGGAGUGUUAUAGCCCUCGGUGCAAUGCAGCCUACCCGGACCGAGGACCGCGCUUCGGCUAGGAUGCUGGCGUAAUGGUUGUAAGCGACCCGUC
rnacentral:rRNA from 1 species